rnacentral:misc_RNA from 1 species
AACCAAAAAGACCAAAGUUCUGCUAGCUGAUCUCUACUUUGCAAAUGGGCUUGCAAUUUCUCCUGAUCAAGAAUCUCUUAUCUACUGUGAAACCCCUAUGAGCAGGUGUAAACGAUAUUUCAUAAAAGGAAAUAAAAAAGGGCACACAGAAAAAUUUGUUGAUAUGCCUGGAAUGCCUGAUAACAUUCAUUAUGAUGGAGGUGGCCACUUUUGGAUUGCAUCAGUCUCGGAAAUUACA